UACGGAAGGCAGCAGUGGGGAAUAUUGCACAAUGGGCGCAAGCCUGAUGCAGCCAUGCCGCGUGUAUGAAGAAGGCCUUCGGGUUGUAAAGUACUUUCAGUCGUGAGGAAGGUGUUAAGGUUAAUAACCUUAGCAAUUGACGUUAGCGACAGAAGAAGCACCGGCUAACUCCGUGCCAGCAGCCGCGGUAAUACGGAGGGUGCGAGCGUUAAUCGGAAUUACUGGGCGUAAAGGGCACGCAGGCGGUUAAUUAAGUUGGAUGUGAAAUCCCCGGGCUUAACCUGGGAAUGGCAUUCAAGACUGGUUAGCUAGAGUCUUGUAGAGGGGGUAGAAUUCCAUGUGUAGCGGUGAAAUGCGUAGAGAUGUGGAGGAAUACCGGUGGCGAGGCGGCCCCUGGACAAAGACUGACGCUCAUGUGCGAAAGCGUGGGGAGCAAACAGGGAUUAGAUACC
rnacentral:rRNA from 1 species